ACCCGUCUCUAGAUUUGCCACGGUAAUAAGGCUUUUGCCAUGGAAUUCCAUGGAGUUCCAUGGCAAUUAGCAUGGAAAUCCGUGGAAUAUUGAAAUUUUCCAUGGACAUUGAAUGGAACAGUAAGUUUGCCAUGGAUUUCCACGGAUUACAGCUGAAAUAUUGAUCAAUUUCCAUGGAAACAGGAGCUUUUGCCAUGGAAAGUUGGACUUAGUAAAAUUUUGGGAUGGAAAAUAGCAUAGAAAAUAACUUAGAAAAUUUUUGUGAUGGAAAUUGAUGGGAACUGUGCACUUAGAAUUUUUGGGAGGUAUUUCUUGUGAACAUUGAAUAUUUUAAUGGAUUAGUAUGUUUUAUGACCAAUAACUACAACUAACUUAAUUAGAUAGGUAAAACAACUAAUGGAAUUACAAUAAAACCUGUCUUAAGAAGCCAGCCAAGGCAGUAGCAAAAAAGUGGCUGCUUACGGCAGAUGGCUGCUUCAUGCAGGUAAUUUAUAGCAUGAAUGACCAUUUUGGGAAAUGAGACACUUGCUGCCUAAGACAGGUUGGCUGCUUAAUAGAGGUGACUGCUAAAGUAGGUUUUACUGUAAAACAUUUAUUGUAAUGCAACUUGUCAUAUAAACUCACCUUGCAGAUAGAUUCAUUUUGAACUAAUCUUUCAAAAUUUAUUGAAAUAUCAUGACUUUUUCUCCUAGAAUAACACCAAAAAGAACAGCACUAACAGUAGUUACAUAUAUAAUAUUACAAUUCUUUACACCAAAAUUCAUUAAAAGUUACCCAGCCAAGAGAUUCUUAAUUAAUCAAGUAAUAAAUUAUUUGGUUCUUUUAAUCUUCUGUAGUGUACCUGUUGCUUGUCUCACAACAGGAGAUUAUCCCAGACUGCAUGAUAAGAUCUUGUCUGCUUUAUAUUUAGAAACUCAUAACAAGAGAUCAACCAAUGAAAAUAAAGUCUGUGAACUACUUCUGGGGGGCUGUAAAUGUACCUCAAAAAGUAAUCCUGAACUUUUUUUCUGUUUAAUAUCAGGGUAAACUUCAAAAAUAAUGAGUAUGUAAAUGGAAUAAAAUCAGCCUGUGGUACAAAAAUAUUUUUAACAUCCUAGAUGUAUCCUCCAAUAGCUGACUGUAAAUGACACAUUUGCCCAAGAAUAUCAAAAUUUCAAAUUUACACAGGAAGUUCUAUGUUUGAGAGCAGGAUGGAGUUAUUUUACUGUGUUUACAUGCAGCUUGGAAGUUAACAAUAACUAAAAGAAUACACCAGGAGUAUAUAAACAGCAUACAUGAAUGAAUGAAUGCAGAUAAUUCAGUUUAGUGACCCAAUGUAUUGUGUUCAAAGGAGACUCCAUCCAACAAUUCAAAGACAUGUUAAUGCAGUGAAGCAGCUGAUGGCAAAUGAUGGCUUUGUGGUAGUUAAUGAAACUACAUGGUAUUUUAAACUGAUGGUGGCCAACAGUGACAGAAAAUUUCUCAACCAAUAGUUACAUUCAGUUGAAAAUGAUGGCAUACCUUAAACCGACUAUACUGCAUUAUGACAAACAGUGGAAAACAUUGAUAUACUACAAUGACAGUGGAACUGAAUAGAAACUGGUGACAUUUUAGCUCCAUAUUGUUUGUACUAUUUUCAAUGACAGUGGAACUGAAUAGAAACUGGUGACAUUUUAGCUCCAUAUUGUUUGUACUAUUUUCUGUCGCCUAGUGAAGAAAUGUCAAAAUUCAUAAGCAGUUUUGUUAUACUACAGACUAUUAUGAAAUUAUAAAUUAAGAUAUGACAUAAUGGUUUCUGAUUUUCCUUUCAGUCCAGUUAUGUCACCAACAAGUUUCCUUGGUUUGUUUGUUUGUUUUGGGUUUAACGCCGUUUUUCAACAGUAUUUCAGUCAUGUAACGGCGGGCAGUUAACCUAACCAGUGUUCCUGGAUUCUGUACCAGUACAAACCUGUUCUCCGCAAGUAACUGCCAACUUCCCCACAUGAAUCAGAGGUGGAGGACUAAUGAUUUCAGGCACAAUGUCGUUUAUCAAAUAGUCACGGAGAACAUACGCCCCGCCCGAGGAUCGAACUCACGACCCCGCGAUCCGUAGACCGACGCUCUACCUACUGAGCUAAG